rnacentral:rRNA from 1 species
GCGAACGCUGGCGGCAGGCCUAACACAUGCAAGUCGAACGAACUCUUCGGAGUUAGUGGCGGACGGGUGAGUAACACGUGGGAACGUGCCUUUAGGUUCGGAAUAAUUCAGGGAAACUUGUGCUAAUACCGAAUGUGCCCUUCGGGGGAAAGAUUUAUCGCCUUUAGAGCGGCCCGCGUCUGAUUAGCUAGUUGGUGAGGUAAAGGCUCACCAAGGCGACGAUCAGUAGCUGGUCUGAGAGGAUGAUCAGCCACAUUGGGACUGAGACACGGCCCAAACUCCUACGGGAGGCAGCAGUGGGGAAUCUUGCGCAAUGGGCGAAAGCCUGACGCAGCCAUGCCGCGUGAAUGAUGAAGGUCUUAGGAUUGUAAAAUUCUUUCACCGGGGACGAUAAUGACGGUACCCGGAGAAGAAGCCCCGGCUAACUUCGUG